UACGUAGGGGGCGAGCGUUAUCCGGAUUUACUGGGUGUAAAGGGAGCGUAGACGGCGUAUCAAGUCUGAUGUGAAAGGCAGGGGCUUAACCCCUGGACUGCAUUGGAAACUGGUAUGCUUGAGUGCCGGAGGGGUAAGCGGAAUUCCUAGUGUAGCGGUGAAAUGCGUAGAUAUUAGGAGGAAUACCAGUGGCGAAGGCGGCUUACUGGACGGUAACUGACGUUGAGGCUCGAAAGCGUGGGGAGCAAACAGG
rnacentral:rRNA from 1 species